rnacentral:rRNA from 1 species
UACGAAGGGGGCUAGCGUUGCUCGGAAUCACUGGGCGUAAAGGGUGCGUAGGCGGGUCUUUAAGUCAGGGGUGAAAUCCUGGAGCUCAACUCCAGAACUGCCUUUGAUACUGAGGAUCUUGAGUUCGGGAGAGGCGAGUGGAACUGCGAGUGUAGAGGUGAAAUUCGUAGAUAUUCGCAAGAACACCAGUGGCGAAGGCGGCUCACUGGCCCGAUACUGACGCUGAGGCACGAAAGCGUGGGGAGCAAACAGGG